GCUAAAAUUUAUCUUGUUCAUUAAUACAUACCUAAACUGCGUCUCUUACAUUACUUGGUGUUUAUUGAGAAGGUUUAGGGUUUGAGUGUGCCGGGCUAUUUAUUUAGGGUUUAACAGAAGAGAAAAAUCAGAGUAGUUCUUUUGCCUGAUCUCAGGGUUCGAUAAAUUACAUAAAUUUCCAGGAGGGGUAGCAAAAGAUUUGAAACGUGAGGGUAAAGGCUUAGAUCAGAACACUCGCCAUUAUUCUCUGCAAGGCUUUUUAUGUCGGUAUAUGUUUUUUCGGCUUCUUUCACUGGUCUUCACGCUAAUUUCUGUGUGGGGACUGUGUUUAGGGCAAUAUUAAGGAGGGUUUAUUUUACUGCAGAGGAUACCUCAUAUUGAAGAUUGAGAAAUGCAAUUAUUUAUUGACAGAGGCAGCCAAGAUUAGAAGUACAAGGGCGAAGUUUGGACCAUUUUGCAGUUCAAUGUCUUCGACAGAUUAGUUUAAUUUAAUAGGAACUUCUGCUUCUUUCACUGGUCUCCACGCCAAUAUCUGUGUGUGGUUGACUCGUUCCCUUGAAGCAAUACUGACUUUUUUUCAUUCCUCGCUAUCUUGCUGCAAGUCUUUAUUUGCAGAGGGUUUCUUUGGAAUGGUACAAUGCAUAGCAUAAGUUUUUAGCACUGGUACUGGUAACAGUUUCAUAGUUUGAUUGAUGGACAACAAAGAUGACGUUAUAAUCUUCUCGAUGAAUGCGAUUAUGAUCGCAGGGUUGGUGUCUUGGAGAAGGGGUUAGGGGCUUUAGUGUGCAGGGCACACUGUUUCGGGCUUUUUGGAGGAGGAAGACUAGACUAUUUUAACUGUAAAGAAUGCUCGAUAGCGAAGAUUGACAAUGCAAUUAUACUUCAAGCAGAGGCAACUAAAUCAGAGUGUAAGUGCUUAGGUUGGACCAUUUUGCAGGUUCGAUUUCGUAUGUAGAAUGGUUUUAUUGUCUUAGAUGAUGUGAAUUACUUGAGAUAAAAUUUUGCUUCUUUCACUGGUCUCUACGCUGAUUUCUGUGUGUGGGUGACUCGUUCCCUUGAAGCAAUACUAAAUAUUUCAUCCCUCGCUAUCUUGCUGCAAGUUUGAUUUGCAGAGGGAUUCUUUGGGCUGGUACAAUGUACUUUAUUAACUUAUAACAUUACUUUUGAGGGUUUGAUUGAUGGACAACGAAGAUGACUUUAUAAUCUUCUCAAUGAUUGCGAAUAUGAUCGCAGGAAAGAACAUCUAAGGGACUGAGCUGUCCAUGUAUUUGUUAUUGCCACUUGCAUUCGUAAUGUGGGUACGAUACAAUGUUUGAAGUGCUUUCGCUUUCUUGAUUUGUCGAUGUUGGAAUCACGUUGCAGAAUUUUGGCUUGAAUGUCUACUACUUUUUUCUAUAGAUUUUUUUUCUUUGCUUGGUAGAGUGUUGAUGUGGGUAGCGUUAGGGAAACUGUAAGAGUUAAAUGCCAGAUUUUACUUCGGAAUAUUUUUAUCAAUUACCAUUUUAUCAUGUAUCAUCAAGAUCCCAUAUUGGAUUCUGAAAUUUUUACCAUAAUUAGGAUUAGGCUAUAGUUCUAUUGACGGGGUUGCCUCAAGUUCUGUGGAGAAUAAUUUAGGAAGAUAAUGGAGGAGCUUCCAAUAUGAUCACGUGGUUCUGUGGAAUUCAUAGCUGAUAAUUGUGGAUUUUCUUUAUAUGGGGAAUUGACAGCUCUCUUAAUCUGCAAUUUAAUCUUUAAAAAUACUACCAUACACAGCUCUGUUAAUCUGCAAUUUAAUCAUAAAUAAAACUAAUAUUUUAAGAGUCUAAAAGCUUUACUUUUCAUUUUUAAUAUUUGAUACUUCCAUUCGAAAACCUGUGGCUUCUUGCCUUUCCCCUCUAAAUAUUGGAGUGUGUACUCUGAACCAUUUAGUGUCACUAAUGUGUAUCUUUCUCUUUUUCUUUUACAAUUUUUAUGCCGAUAGGCGUUCUUAUGUGGGAGACCGAGCUGCAAGUACAGCUACAGGAAAUAUUUGAUGGUUUGAAAGUUGUAUGCAUUGCAUUGAUCGCCCAUAGAAAUAAUUUUUUUUGGCUUAGCCCUCUAAAUAUUGGAAUUUGUAAAUCUAUGAACCAUUUAGCGCGCGACUAGUGUGCAUCUAGCAAAGGUAAGGUGCUGAAACGGCACGCAGAAAGUAGUGGGGAGUGGUAUGGAACCUUGCAAGUGGAAGUAGGGAACCUCCCUCGUCGUUGGUUUCUUGCAGUGGAGAUAAAAACUGUCGGAAUUUGGGAGUGAUACAGUCUUGUCCUUUGUUUGUAAGGUUAAUACUCUCCCAUGGUAUCUUCAAUAGUCUUUCAAAUUUUGCUUCUAAGAACUAGUAAUUGUACUAGUAGAUUAGUCUUUAUUUAUAGGUCUUGAAUGAUUGCUGUUGUUAAUCUCGUACUUGACCCAUGUAUCUAAAAUUCUUGAUAUGCAGAGUACACGAUCAAUUGGACACCACCAAUGUCAUGUCAAACUUAUUCUGCAAUUUGCUUAGAAGAAAAUUAAGAAACUGUCUUUAGGAAAAGGCAUUCAUUCUAGAGUGAAUGAAUCCUUUUUAAAUGUUAGGUCCCUUGAGUCAAUUUUAAAAUAUUAUGGUUAAAGCAAAUAAUAAAUUAUAAUCCUCCCUUUGCAAAGAUUUGUUAGGGAUGAAUUCAGUGUCACUUCGAUGUCCUGUUGGCUCGGAAUGCCAAGUAGCCAUUGCAGUUGUUAUUUUUUUAAAGAUUAUCUGGAUGUUAUAUCUGUUCUCAGGAAAAAGCAUUCCAGCUCUUCAAACAGUAAAAGCGUAAUAGACUCGUCCCCAUAUACGGGAAUUAGAGGGUUAACAUGCCCAAUUGGGUAUCUUGAACGAGGCAGCUUAAAGGAUGCGUAGAGUUGCCAUUUUCGAAGAUGGUAUUUACACGAUAGGCAGUAAAUAAAAUGUAUCAAAUUCCUCUGCUUUGGAAACUAGCUUAAAUUAAAACCACCUAUGUUGAGAGCCCUGCAUAUUCUUGUAUUGGAUGAUUAUUAUGUUGUGUUUGAUCCACCAGUGAAAUUUUCAGUUACAGUUGAAUAGUCAACUUAGUGUAGAAUCAAGUUUUGCCAUGUAAGAGUAACAUCU